CUGGAAUCCCGCUCACUCGCUUUAUAAACAACUAUAUUAAAAUACAUAAUUUUGUGUGUAUAUGUGUUUGUGCGCAUAUUUGCGCUUUUGGACCAAUUACCGGUAAUCCAAGCGCGCUGGUGCUGAGAAAAACUGGGACAGCGCACAUGCAAUUACAACUAACAACGGAGAAGAAAUUAAAAUAACUGGUUGUGGAAAUGAGUGACGAGAAAGAAAACAACAACAAAAAAACACCCAAUAAAUUCCGUAAAAAAGCAAAAAUGUAGCAAAAACAACAACAAUAACAAAUUAUAGUCAAUACCGCAACCGAAAUCUUGGCCAGAAACAAAACCUGUAAAACAACAGCCGCUACAACAACAACAAUAAGCAAUAAUCGUAGUAGCGGUAUGCAGCAGCAACAGCUUAACAGCAACAACAACAGUGAAAACCAAAAAUACUCGCUUAAAAAGCAUUCAAGGAAAAGAAAAAAAAGUACUAAUGAAAUUAAGAGUGUACAACAAAUAAAAUGGAAAUGAAUACACUUUUCGGGUGUUAUGUCA